GCGAAGGUGGCGGAAUUGGUAGACGCGCUAGCUUCAGGUGUUAGUGUUCUUACGGACAUGGGGGUUCAAGUCCCCCCCCCUCGCACCA
rnacentral:tRNA from 2 species